GGCCUAACACAUGCAAGUCGAGCGGAAACGACACUAACAAUCCUUCGGGUGCGUUAAUGGGCGUCGAGCGGCGGACGGGUGAGUAAUGCCUAGGAAAUUGCCUUGAUGUGGGGGAUAACCAUUGGAAACGAUGGCUAAUACCGCAUAAUGCCUACGGGCCAAAGAGGGGGACCUUCGGGCCUCUCGCGUCAAGAUAUGCCUAGGUGGGAUUAGCUAGUUGGUGAGGUAAUGGCUCACCAAGGCGACGAUCCCUAGCUGGUCUGAGAGGAUGAUCAGCCACACUGGAACUGAGACACGGUCCAGACUCCUACGGGAGGCAGCAGUGGGGAAUAUUGCACAAUGGGCGAAAGCCUGAUGCAGCCAUGCCGCGUGUAUGAAGAAGGCCUUCGGGUUGUAAAGUACUUUCAGUUGUGAGGAAGGGGGUAGCGUUAAUAGCGCUAUCUCUUGACGUUAGCAACAGAAGAAGCACCGGCUAACUCCGUGCCAGCAGCCGCGGUAAUACGGAGGGUGCGAGCGUUAAUCGGAAUUACUGGGCGUAAAGCGCAUGCAGGUGGUUCAUUAAGUCAGAUGUGAAAGCCCGGGGCUCAACCUCGGAACUGCAUUUGAAACUGGUGAACUAGAGUACUGUAGAGGGGGGUAGAAUUUCAGGUGUAGCGGUGAAAUGCGUAGAGAUCUGAAGGAAUACCAGUGGCGAAGGCGGCCCCCUGGACAGAUACUGACACUCAGAUGCGAAAGCGUGGGGAGCAAACAGGAUUAGAUACCC
rnacentral:rRNA from 1 species